GAUUUGCAACUAUUACAAAUCUUCAUGAGCUUGUCAAUACUCUAAGAGUGGAAAUCUCAUUUAUUUCUAAUAUGAAUCAUGGAGGUACUGUGCCUAUGCAUAUAGAAGAAGUUCAAAGUCAACUGCAAGAAGUUGUGCAAUUGAAGAAAGCAAGUAGAUUGACCUCACAGCCAAAUCCAGUGAAUUUUUUUUCUAUAAAUAUAACAGAAACAAAGAUUAGUAUGCUUGUGAAGUUUGAUGGAAUAAGGAUUAGUAUGCCUAAGAAGUUUGAUGGAAUAAGAUAAAAAUUUCAAAGACUUUUGUAACAAGUCAAGCUCUACUUAAGGUUGCAUCUUUUCCAAUACUCCAAUGGAUUUACUCAAGUCGGAUUCAUAUGCAUACUUCUAUCAAGAAGUGCUCUUUUUUGAUUUGUACCUUUAAUGGAAAAAAGUUUUUUGAUUCUUUUAUGAGUUAAAUUCAUUUCUUACAAUGUAUAUGGCCACAUUUGGAGAAAGUGAUUGACAAAGAGU
rnacentral:lncRNA from 1 species